rfam:Drosophila busckii chromosome X sequence.
AUUAUGUCCAGUCUAAUUCUGCAUCAUGUCAUCGUAUAUUGUCGCAGACUCGCUUUUGGACAAAAGCAAACUUUUAUUAUCCUUGUGCUUGUGACAGUCUUCAGUUCAAUGCACACGAGAAACGUAGAAGAACAUCU